rnacentral:rRNA from 1 species
UACGAAGGGGGCUAGCGUUGCUCGGAAUUACUGGGCGUAAAGGGCGCGUAGGCGGGUCGUUAAGUUAGAGGUGAAAGCCCAGGGCUCAACCCUGGAAUUGCCUUUGAUACUGGCGGCCUUGAGUAUGGCAGAGGUGUGUGGAACUCCGAGUGUAGAGGUGAAAUUCGUAGAUAUUCGGAAGAACACCAGUGGCGAAGGCGACUUACUGGACACAUAUUGACGCUGAGGUGCGAAAGCGUGGGGAGCAAACAGG